UUGAAUGGGGCGCAGUUGUUUCAUAAUUCCCAAUGCGUUCAAAAGAAAGCAGACUGAAAAGCCCUGUAAGGAUGGACCAUGACUCCACAGCCAAAGUUCUAUGGUUUUCAUUCUUUGCCGAAGGACCGGAGAAUCGGGAAUGGCUUGUAGGAGUUCGUCGGUCCCAAUGUUUGAACCAGUAAGGCAAAGUUGGUAUGCAACGACUGGGGGUGCCCCUCCCAGUCAACACCACCUCAUAUGAGGAAGUGCAUUGUUUAUAAGGAUUGCCUGCUACAGUUGUUUGGGAGAUAUUCCGUUUGCAGCUGAACACGCAACAAGGGGACCCUCAGCAUCAUGCAGACAUGCCCUCACUUUCAGCAUUGCUAUAAAUGGAACAGGAAGGACACUUGAAUCAGGUAGGUGAUCUUUGACCUGGUCAUAGUUUGUCCCAAUUCACCUUCUGAUCGCUAUGUUUACCAUUCUCACUUCACAUAUCAUGAGAACGGAAGUGAAAUAGAAAGAUGAAUGCAGCAAUCGGGUUGGUUCCACCAUGUUAAUCAUAACCACCAUUGAUAACGUAAGCAGUGCACUGUGUGUGUGUGUUUGUGUGUGACAAACCAGUAUCUUUGAUGAGAGGCCAGGAGCUACUCUGCCAUGCCCAUCAAGGGGGCACUGGCAAAGUUCUUACCUCCAGCCUCACCUCCUGCCUGCUCACCAACGGUCGUUGAUGGGAGGACCAGAAUUAAAUACAUCUAUGGAGACAGAUCUUCAAGACUUGCAAGAUGAUGUGAUGAAGUUCAGACUGGCUUGAUAUUGAUGUCUCUGGAUGGAGAGAGACCUGGCAUGCAACACAUCCACAAUAUGGGACUGAAGGGGAUUACUAAGAAUACAGUACAGCAGAAAUGUCCAGCAUUUGCAACACCCUUUUCGUUAUAUGUGUCACUGAUUAACGUUUCCUCAACUCUGCCUAUUUCUACAGAUGCUACAAAUGCUUUUGCCAAAUGCCAGACCUGUUCAAACAUCAACAUAGUACCUGUUUGUGUGUCAGAUAUUACCCAUCCUAACUGCCAUUGGUAAUAGAACAGUGACUAUGUGUGUAUGUGUUCUCAGAAAAAUAAAAAGAGCCAGCACAGAGACUUGGAAGAUGAUGUCCAGACUGACAGACAGGCUUUAUACUGAUGUCACUGAAUUGAGAGAGACCUGGUACUCGGCAUUAACAUUUUACUAGACACAACUUUUACUUUCAUUGUCUUUUUUAAGUUAUUGAAUUGAAUGGUGUCAGUCAAUAUGGGGAGGGAGAAACCCUGUGUAUUCUGCACCAUGAUCAGGGAACUGUUGUAUACAGGGACACCACACAGGAAGGUAUGGCCACUGACAUGUUUGCCAAGGUACUUACCACCUAACAAAAUGCCGAUAGGCACAGUAUCUGUAUCGUCUGGGA